UCAAAUACGACGUCUCCUAAUUCCAGGACCAACACUUAGUGCCCACUUGGAGUCGCUUGGAAGGCGUGGCCACGAAUCCUGCCCCCAUUCCCCGUCGGCCAAUCACAGGCCGAUCCGAGCAGGAUUCUGCCCAAUGAAAAAAGGUCACUGCUGCCCCUCGAACGGACCCAGGAUCUCGCUCAAAAUAGGUCAUAGAUAGAUUCAGACAGAAUACAAUUAGCCUUCAAGUCGAGAGGUCCUCCCCUCUCUUCGACUCCUCCUCAAGGAUUCCAGGUUGACUGUUCCCUGCUGAACAUAUUCCUCUACCAGGCUAGAUGGGCACGAUGUCGUGAGUUGGGAAGAUUUCACAAUCAGCAUGGCAAGAUGGCAGUCAGAUGCUAUAUAUCUUCCAAACUCUUCCUAUCCAUCAGGACCUUUGUCUCUACCAGCAGAACUUGAUAUAAGAUCCACUGUUGCACCUCCUAUAUAUAGGGUAAGUUUGUAAACAAAAUACACCCUCUUGUAAAUUGUACAUUAAUCAGGACACUUGUAAACUAUAUUUAAUUUCUUUAUUGGCUUGAAUCAUCCUGAUUCUUCAAAUAAACUUCUGCCUUUAGCUAGUUCAACCUCUCCUCAUGUUAUACAUAUUCUCUAACAAAAUAAAUCUGUCAGUGUUUAAGUUUAUUUUACAUAUGCUAGCGAAACCUGGCAAUGGAAAUUCCUGAUAUGUGUGUAUAACUCUUGAAGAAUAAGAUAAAUUCUGUUAAUCAAACUUGAACAAACAAUAAUAUUAAUUUUGAAAUAUCCUACUCUCCCAUAACUUCCCAAGUUAAGGAAUGCAAUUCCGUCAUCUAUUUGAUCUA
rnacentral:lncRNA from 1 species